rnacentral:rRNA from 1 species
GACGAACGCUGGCGGCGUGCUUAACACAUGCAAGUCGAACGGAAGGGCCCUGCUUUUGUGGGGUGCUCGAGUGGCGAACGGGUGAGUAACACGUGAGUAACCUGCCCUUGACUUUGGGAUAACUUCAGGAAACUGGGGCUAAUACCGGAUAGGAGCUCCUGCUGCAUGGUGGGGGUUGGAAAGUUUCGGCGGUUGGGGAUGGACUCGCGGCUUAUCAGCUUGUUGGUGGGGUAGUGGCUUACCAAGGCUUUGACGGGUAGCCGGCCUGAGAGGGUGACCGGCCACAUUGGGACUGAGAUACGGCCCAGACUCCUACGGGAGGCAGCAGUGGGGAAUAUUGCACAAUGGGCGGAAGCCUGAUGCAGCAACGCCGCGGGCGGGAUGACGGCCUUCGGGUUGUAAACCGCUUUCGCCUGUGACGAAGCGUGAGUGACGGUAAUGGGUAAAGAAGCACCGGCUAACUACGUG